AACAAACGCUGGCGGCGUGCCUAACACAUGCAAGUCGUACGAAAAAGGGUCCUUCGGGGCCUGAGUAAAGUGGCGCACGGGUGAGUAACGCGUGGAUAAUCUGCCCUUCAGUUGGGAAUAACUCAUCGAAAGGUGGGCUAAUACCGAAUAAUGCUGUGAGACCUCGGUUGAUCAGCCAAAGAGAGCCUCUGCUUGCAAGCCCUCGCUGAAGGAUGAGUCCGCGUACCAUUAGCUAGUUGGUAGGGUAAUGGCCUACCAAGGCGACGAUGGUUGGCUGGUCGGAGAGGAUGAUCAGCCACACUGGAACUGAGACACGGUCCAGACUCCUACGGGAGGCAGCAGUGAGGAAUCUUGCGCAAUGGGGGCAACCCUGACGCAGCAACGCCGCGUGAGUGAGGAAGGUCUUCGGAUCGUAAAGCUCUGUCGGAUGGAAAGAACCGCAUAGGGGUAAACAGCCCCUGUGUCUGACGGUACCAUCAAAGGAAGCACCGGCUAACUCCGUGCCAGCAGCCGCCGUAAUAC
rnacentral:rRNA from 1 species